GUCAGCAGCCACAUCACCCUGCAGCCAAAGACUGGUUGCCCACUGAAGCUAAGCAGGAUUGAGCCUGGUCAGUGCCUGGAUGGGAGACCUCUUGGGAAAACUAGGUUGCUGUUGGAA
ensembl:rRNA 5S_rRNA 5S ribosomal RNA